rnacentral:rRNA from 1 species
AUUGAACGCUGGCGGCAGGCCUAACACAUGCAAGUCGAGCGGAGCGGCGGACGGGGGAGGGAUGACUAGGAAUCUGCCUGGUAGUGGGGGAUACCGUCGGGAAACGGGAGCUAAUGCAGCAUACUAUCAAAGGAGCCUCGGUCGGAUUAGCUAGUUGGUGGGGUAAUGGCCUACCAAGGCGACGAUCCGUAACUGGUCUGAGAGGAGGAUCAGUCACACGGGAACUGAGACACGGCCCAGACUCCUACGGGAGGCAGCAGUAGGGAAUAUUGGGCAAUGGGCGAAAGCCUGACCGAGCCAUGCCGCGUGUGUGAAGAAGGUCUUCGGAUUGUAAAGCACUUUAAGUUGAGAGGCGUUACCAACAGAAUAAGCACCGGCUAACUUCGUGCCAGCAGCCGCGGUAAUAC